AUAACAAUACAGAACUCUUUAGAUGCCCUGUAAUUGUAAUGAGUCCACUUGAAAUCCUUUAACUCUGAUCAAUUGGAGGGCAAGUCUGGUGCGUGCUGCAGCUGAAACUCCACUAUCG